rnacentral:rRNA from 1 species
GAUGAACGCUGGCGGCGUGCCUAAUACAUGCAAGUCGAGCGAACAGACGAGGAGCUUGCUCCUCUGACGUUAGCGGCGGACGGGUGAGUAACACGUGGAUAACCUACCUAUAAGACUGGGAUAACUUCGGGAAACCGGAGCUAAUACCGGAUAAUAUAUUGAACCGCAUGGUUCAAUAGUGAAAGACGGUUUUGCUGUCACUUAUAGAUGGAUCCGCGCCGCAUUAGCUAGUUGGUAAGGUAACGGCUUACCAAGGCAACGAUGCGUGGCCGACCUGAGAGGGUGAUCGGCCACACUGGAACUGAGACACGGUCCAGACUCCUACGGGAGGCAGCAGUAGGGAAUCUUCCGCAAUGGGCGAAAGCUUGACGAAGCAACGCCGCGUGAGUGAUGAAGGUCUUCGGAUCGUAAAACUCUGUUAUUAGGGAAGAACAAAUGUGUAAGUAACUAUGCACGUCUUGACGGUACCUAAUCAGAAAGCCACGGCUAACUACGUG